UACGGAGGUGGCAAGCGUUGCUCGGAAUCACUGGGCGUAAAGGGCGCGUAGGCGGGGAGGUAAGUCGGGUGUGAAAUCCCUCGGCCCAACCGAGGAACUGCGCCCGAGACUGCCUUCUCUGAGUCCCAGAGAGGAAGGUGGAAUUCCCGGUGUAGCGGUGAAAUGCGCAGAUAUCAGGAGGAACACCGGUGGCGAAGGCGGGUCUCUGGGCCGAUAUUGACGCUGAGGAGCGAAAAGCGUGGGGAGCGAACAGG
rnacentral:rRNA from 1 species